rnacentral:misc_RNA from 1 species
GAUGAAGAACGUAGCGAAAUGCGAUAAGUAAUGUGAAUUGCAGAAUUCAGUGAAUCAUCGAGUCUUUGAACGCACAUUGCGCCCCCUGGUAUUCCGGGGGGCAUGCCUGUCCGAGCGUCAUUGCCGCCCUCAAGCACGGCUUGUGUGUUGGGCCCCCGCCCCCCGGCUUCGGGGGGCGGGCCCGAAAGGCAGCGGCGGCACCGCGUCCGGUCCUCGAGCGUAUGGGGCUUCGUCACCCGCUCUGUAGGCCCGGCCGGCGCCCGCCGGCGACCCCAAUCAAUCUUUCCAGGUUGACCUCGGAUCAGGUAGGGAUACCCGCUGAACUUAAGCAUAUCAUAAGCGGAGGA